UACGAAGGGUCCAAGCGUUAUCCGGAUUUAUUGGGUUUAAAGGGUGCGCAGGCGGGACCUUAAGUCAGUGGUGAAAUCUCGUAGCUCAACUACGAAACUGCCAUUGAUACUGAGGUUCUUGAAUGUAGUUGACGUUAGUGGAAUGUGUCAUGUAGCGGUGAAAUGCUUAGAUAUGACACAGAACACCGAUCGCGAAGGCAGCUAACGAAGCUAUUAUUGACGCUCAGGCACGACAGCACGGGGAGCAAACAGG
rnacentral:rRNA from 1 species